CUAACGCAUGCAAGUCGAGCGGGGUGAGCUUGUCACUUCGGUGACGGGCGAGCCCAGCGGCGAACGGGUGAGUAACACGUGGGUAAUCUGCCCAGAAGUUCGGGAUAGCCCUGGGAAACUGGGGGUAAUACCGGAUAAGGUCACCGGGUUGCAUGAACUGGUGAGCAAAGGGGCAACUCGCUUUUGGAUGAGCCCGCGGCCCAUUAGCUAGUUGGUAGGGUAA
rnacentral:rRNA from 1 species